GAAUGUUUAAUUAUCGAAAAUAUUUUGUCUUUAAUUUUGAAUAUUUGUAUUUGAAAAAUUCUGUUUAAUUUCAUAGUUACAUGUAUUGUAUCUUGUUUAAUUAUCUAAUUCAAUAUUUUGUCUGUUUAAUAGAAUUUAAUUGUAUUUAAUGUUUAACUAUAUUAAACAAACAAAAUAUUGAAAAAAAAUUGGGGAAAAAAAUUCAAACAAGCCGAUAAAACAUUUGAAAAAACAAUUAAACAUUAGAAAGACAAAACAUUUCGAAAUCAAAUCAGACAUUAGAAAAGAAUAAAAGGUGAGAAAAAAGCAAAACUAAACAUUUAAGAAGAAUCAAACUAAAGACAAAACAUCUGAAAAGACACCAGUUAGACUUUAGAAGAUCAAAUUAAACAGAAGAGACAAUAAAACGAUCAAAAAGAGUAAAAACACAUAAAGGCCUUGAAGUGUUUUCUCGUCUGAAAUGAAAACAUCAAGUUGUUUCUUCAAACAUUUCCUCUUUCUAUGUUCUUGGUUUGAUUGUGGACAGAUUUACUAAGAACUCAUUUCAGAAAACUGCUUUCCAGAUAAAGUCUACUAGUAGUUGAAGGCAUUUAUCAAACUAAUGUUACCUUCUGAUCUCCACAAACUUUACUGUUCAGUGAAGAGAAUCAAAGUUUGUUGAGGAUUUCUAAAAACCCACAGGUGAAGGUCUGAGAAGAACUCAGAUGGAUGGUCUAAAUGUGAAAUCAAGACUCAUCGUCACAAGUUUUAAGGCUUCUGUUAACCAGAAAGUUCAAACUAACAGAGAAGUACUGAGAAACUUUUAAAAUUUCAGUCCUCAGACUGUCUGAAGGUUCAAACUAACAGAGAACUACUCAAGAACUUUUCGGAUUUCAGUCCUCAGACUGUCUGAAGGUUCAAACUAACAGAGAACUACUGAGGAACUUGGAAGAUAUCAGCCCUGAGACUGUGUGAAAGCUCAGGUCCUGAGGACUCGGGAGGUGUGGAGGCUUGGAAAGUCUUAGAACUGAGGGUUCAACCCUCCAGCACAAAGGCUGAAGUCCAGCCUCCUGAGAAAAACGGUCGAGUCGAGACUCAAGUUAAAAAAAAACUCGAAAACGACAAAAAAUAGAUGAUAAAUGCGCAAAAAAAAGAAGAAUUAGUAUCUGAGCAAGUAGCUCAGGGGAUAAGAAGACAGACUCCCAAGCGGAGGGUCGCAGGUUCAAGACCCGCCACCGGCAGUUUUCUUUGUUUGUCUUUGUCAGGAUUUUGAUAAAACUUAAGAAGGGUCUGGUCUUGAACCAGCGACCUGCAGCUCCAUAGGCAAAUCCUUAACUCACUGAGCUACAGAUCAGAUAAAAAGAGAUAAUUUCGUCGUCCCUUUGACAUCGUAGUUCCUCAAGUGACCACAUGGGUGGGGCCAAGGCGGAGUCUGGGUGGAGUCAGGGCGGAGAGUAGGCGGGGAGGUGGGUGGCGGCCUCCCCCCUCUACUCCCCCACCUCCCCCCACCACCCACCACACCUUCCCCCGCCCGACGAGUUCUUCGAGUCUCCACGAGUUCUUCGAGUCUCCACGAGUUUUCCCGAGUUUCUGGAGUUUCCACCAGGUCAGAGGCAGAACAACUUGUCAUGAAGAGGUGUUGAAGUCGGCCAGGAUGGAGUGACUUUUUACAGCGACUAGAAGGAAGACCACUAGAAGAGCAGGUCUUUAACCACCAUCCAUAAAAUCCAUGGAGUCACUCCAGAGAAAUGAAGGGAGGUCAACUUUUAUCAACCUCCAUCCAGAUUUCAACUUGAUAUCUUUACUUAUACCUUUAGUAUCACACUUUAUUAUCGUUUAUUAGGACUUUAAUGGAAUCCACCAGCAGAUUUACUUUUUGUUGACAAACUUUAUUCUUGCCAUCGUGGGACUGCAGUAUUUAAAACUGUUCCUUCUAUUUGACCUCAUGUUUAUUAGCUUUAGUGGAGAAAGUUAUUUUAGUUGUCGAUUAGUCUCUUAAGGACCAAAUAAUAAAUUGGAUUAGUCAAAAGGUUUAAAUUUCUUACUUUGUCAUAUUUUAAAUAUGACAAAAAAUUGAAAAAUAAAGUGUCUUGAGACAAUUUGACCUGUAAUUGUGGUUAUAUAAAUAAAAUUGAAUUCAAAUUGUAUGUAUGUUGUAAUGUUGGAGUAAUUCAGCCAUAUAUGUUGGAUAACACAUUUUCUUUGACCAUUAAUCUGUUGAUUGUUUUCUCCAGUAAUUCAUUUCUUGUUUUGGUUUAUAAAAUGUCAAACCCAAAUAUAUUCAGUUUACUGUCAUAAAAAUCAAAAAGAUUUACAUUCAUGAUGGGGGAAUCAGGCAGUCUUUCACUUUUUAUCUUAGUUUAGUCAGAAAGAUAGUUGAUAAUGUGUCAAUUGUUGCAGCUUGUGAGCCAUAGAAGGUUUUAAUCUUUGGGGCCGAGUGUCAAAAUACAUUUAGAAACCAACAUCAACAAAACACUCAACAAAGAUUUGAACAUCAUUGAAGGGAAAUCCAAAUUUUGCAUGACAAUGUCUAAUUAAAGGACAUUUAUUUCCAACGUAAAUGUGUGAUAUUCAUCCUCUGGAGCUUUCUCUUCACAUCGUCUUCCACUUGGACUGGUUUGGUCGGGAGCAUGUGCAACAAACAUUUGAAAAACUGCACUUUAACAUCAAUGAAUGACACUGAAGUUUAAUGUCUACAUAAAUGAGACUGAGUCUGAAUGUGCUGCUCUGUCAUUAACUCCUAAGUUUAGGGAAAGUUAAAACAAAAGAGGACAGUUCAGAUCAGACUUUAGAAUGAGCUUAUUUUCAAUAAACAUCUCAGACUUUCUGAGCUUCACCAACUAUAGCAAGAUAUUUUAACAACAAGCAACUCAAGAGAUCCAGAAGUUGGAGAGAGUUGGCUUUAGCUGAGCCAAAGUACAUGUGGGACGCUAACCUAGCAAACAUUUCAGACUUUUCUCUGUGAAUUCUGAGGAAUAAUUUCCUAUUUAAUGACAGAGCUACACAUCUUAACUCAGUCUCAUGAAAACAGACUCUAAGUGCAGUUACCCAAAAUGUUUGUUGCAUGAGCUCCAACAAAACCUGUCCAGGUAGAAGGCCACUUUGACAAACAGGAAGUGGAAGAUUCCAAGCAGACUGAUAGAAGGGGGAACCGGACUGUACUAAGUUUGGUCGAGUAUAGAGGGGUGUUUUGUGGGUUUUUAAGGCUGAUAAUGAUUAUUAGUGAGACAUUUGGAGUAGAUAUUCAUUUGCAGUAAAUGAAAGUACUUAAAAUCUUGGAGUUAAACUUAGAAGAACACAAACUCUAACAGAAAACUUUGUUGAUACGUUUUUGUUUUGUUUACAGAUGUUAAAGGAGUUUUAUUCGUGACGUAUAACCAAUCAAAUCACUCCAGAAGACAGAGCGACCACAGGCCUCCGUUGACUCGUUCCACCUGCCGUCUCUGGAGCUGAAGCUGGAUUGGAACAGACCAAAGUACAGUCCAAUCACGAUGCCAGCUGCCUCUCAAAAGGCUCCUUCAUCUGGCAGGUGGUGGAACUUCUUCUGAGGGGAAGCUGAGCUGGCCCGGCAGAACUUUGGAGAUGUGUUCCAGUGGUUGGUGGAUGUGUGGGGAGAUAGAGAGGGACCUUUGAACUGUUCACAAAGGAAAACAGGGAACACAUUGGUGGUUUUAGUUUAGGGUGCUACUGCGGUGUGUUUUUGGGUUUUAAGAGGUGAACAGGAAGAGUUUUUUUUCAUAUUGAUUAUCUUUUACUUUGUUCCUGGUUGGAAUGCCCAUCAAUGUCAACAUGAAGUUCACUUUUAGUUCUGUUUAUUUAUUUUUAUUUUACUAACACCCAUUUGUUUUUAACUCCCUCACAUGUUGUGUUGUUGUAAACUUACUCUUUCAAAUAAAUACGUGUCUAACCCUCUGGAAA